GCACAAGCAGUGGAGUAUGUGGUUUAAUUCGACGCAACGCGAAGAACCUUACCAAGUCUUGACAUCCCUUGACAGACAUAGAAAUAUGUAAUCUCUUCGGAGUAAGGAGACAGGUGGUGCAUGGUUGUCGUCAGCUCGUGUCGUGAGAUGUUGGGUUAAGUCCCGCAACGAGCGCAACCCUUAUGGUCAGUUACUACGCAAGAGGACUCUGGCCAGACUGCCGUUGACAAAA
rnacentral:rRNA from 1 species